ACGCUAGCUACAGGCUUAACACAUGCAAGUCGAGGGGCAGCAUUUUAGUUUGCUUGCAAACUGAAGAUGGCGACCGGCGCACGGGUGAGUAACACGUAUCCAACCUACCGAUAACUCCGGAAUAGCCUUUCGAAAGAAAGAUUAAUACCGGAUAGCAUACGAAUAUCGCAUGAUAUUUUUAUUAAAGAAUUUCGGUUAUCGAUGGGGAUGCGUUCCAUUAGUUUGUUGGCGGGGUAACGGCCCACCAAGACUACGAUGGAUAGGGGUUCUGAGAGGAAGGUCCCCCACAUUGGAACUGAGACACGGUCCAAACUCCUACGGGAGGCAGCAGUGAGGAAUAUUGGUCAAUGGGCGAGAGCCUGAACCAGCCAAGUAGCGUGAAGGAUGAAGGCUCUAUGGGUCGUAAACUUCUUUUAUAUGGGAAUAAAGUUUUCCACGUGUGGAAUUUUGUAUGUACCAUAUGAAUAAGGAUCGGCUAACUCCGUGCCAGCAGCCGCGGUAAUACGGAGGAUCCGAGCGUUAUCCGGAUUUAUUGGGUUUAAAGGGAGCGUAGGUGGAUUGUUAAGUCAGUUGUGAAAGUUUGCGGCUCAACCGUAAAAUUGCAGUUGAAACUGGCAGUCUUGAGUACAGUAGAGGUGGGCGGAAUUCGUGGUGUAGCGGUGAAAUGCUUAGAUAUCACGAAGAACUCCGAUUGCGAAGGCAGCUCACUAGACUGUCACUGACACUGAUGCUCGAAAGUGUGGGUAUCAAACAGGAUUAGAUACCCUGGUAGUCCACACAGUAAACGAUGAAUACUCGCUGUUUGCGAUAUACAGUAAGCGGCCAAGCGAAAGCAUUAAGUAUUCCACCUGGGGAGUACGCCGGCAACGGUGAAACUCAAAGGAAUUGACGGGGGCCCGCACAAGCGGAGGAACAUGUGGUUUAAUUCGAUGAUACGCGAGGAACCUUACCCGGGCUUAAAUUGCAACAGAAUAUAUUGGAAACAGUAUAGCCGUAAGGCUGUUGUGAAGGUGCUGCAUGGUUGUCGUCAGCUCGUGCCGUGAGGUGUCGGCUUAAGUGCCAUAACGAGCGCAACCCUUAUCUUUAGUUACUAACAGGUUAUGCUGAGGACUCUAGAGAGACUGCCGUCGUAAGAUGUGAGGAAGGUGGGGAUGACGUCAAAUCAGCACGGCCCUUACGUCCGGGGCUACACACGUGUUACAAUGGGGGGUACAGAAGGCGGCUACCUGGUGACAGGAUGCUAAUCCCAAAAACCUCUCUCAGUUCGGAUCGAAGUCUGCAACCCGACUUCGUGAAGCUGGAUUCGCUAGUAAUCGCGCAUCAGCCAUGGCGCGGUGAAUACGUUCCCGGGCCUUGUACACACCGCCCGUCAAGCCAUGAAAGCCGGGGGUACCUGAAGUACGUAACCGCAAGGAGCGUCCUAGGGUAAAACUGGUAAUUGGGGCUAAAU
rnacentral:rRNA from 1 species